UGGUACCCGGGUUGAACUUCUAUUUGGAAGGUUGUAAGUUUGAGUCUCAGUAGAGGCGUUAUUGCCUCUUUUUGUAUGUGUUUCAAUAGGUUGAGAACGUAUAUG